CGGACGGGUGAGUAAUGUCUGGGAAACUGCCCGAUGGAGGGGGAUAACUACUGGAAACGGUAGCUAAUACCGCAUAACGUCGCAAGACCAAGAGGGGGACCUUGGGCCUCUUGCCAUCGGAUGUGCCCAGAUGGGAUUAGCUAGUAGGUGGGGUAACGGCUCACCUAGGCGACGAUCCCUAGCUGGUCUGAGAGGAUGACCAGCCACACUGGAACUGAGACACGGUCCAG
rnacentral:rRNA from 1 species